rnacentral:rRNA from 1 species
UUGUCGUAAUGGUAAUUCAACUAGUACGAGAGGAACCGUUGAUUCAGAUAUUUGGUCUUGGCGCUUGGUUGAGAAGCUAUUGGCGCGGAGCUACCAUCUGUUUGGAAGAUUAUGGCUGAACGCCUCUAAGCCAGAAACCCUGCUAGAAACGACGAUAACAAUUCUCUUAACCUCGAUCUUUGGUAAAUAUAGGAAAGGAUUUAUAUUUUUUUCUGCUUUUUUUUUUUGAAUAGCCUAUGAAAAGAAAAAGAGUUAAAGAUCCUUUUUUCAAAUAAACCGUAGUUAAUCUAAGAAAAAAAACAUUCAGCGAAAAAAAAAACAGAGAAAAACGUGCGGAAAAAAAAACCCGACUGUUUUUUUUUCUUUUAUUGCUGAGAUUUCUAAGAUACCUCGAAGAAUGUAAAAACGGGUUGAGAGAGAUGAGAUCACUUGUAGACGACUUGGUUAUGGGACCGGGUAUUGUAAGGAGUAGAGUAGUUUAUAUGCUACGAUCUCUUGAGAUUUAGCCUGGCAAUCCUUGAU